rnacentral:sRNA from 1 species
GUCAAAUUCAAUUAAAAGGAAUCCUAAUGCACCGGUUGUCAGACGAGGUUGGCUUUAUAAACAGGACAGUACUGGCAUGAAAUUGUGGAAGAAACGCUGGUUUGUGCUUUCUGACCUUUGCCUCUUUUAUUAUAGAGAUGAGAAAGAAGAGGGUAUCCUGGGAAGCAUACUGUUACCUAGUUUUCAAAUAGCUUUGCUUACCUCUGAAGAUCACAUUAAUCGCAAAUAUGCUUUUAAGGCAGCCCAUCCAAACAUGCGGACCUAUUAUUUCUGCACUGAUACAGGAAAGGAAAUGGAGUUGUGGAUGAAAGCCAUGUUAGAUGCUGCCCUAGUACAGACAGAACCUGUGAAAAGAGUGGACAAGAUUACAUCUGAAAAUGCACCAACUAAAGAAACCAAUAACAUUCCCAACCAUAGAGUGCUAAUUAAACCAGAGAUCCAAAACAAUCAAAAAAACAAGGAAAUGAGCAAAAUUGAAGAAAAAAAGGCAUUAGAAGCUGAAAAAUACGGAUUUCAGAAGGAUGGUCAAGAUAGACCCUUAACAAAAAUUAAUAGUGUAAAGCUGAAUUCUCUGCCAUCUGAAUAUGAGAGUGGGUCAGCAUGCCCUGCUCAGACUGCACACUACAGACCAAUCAACUUGAGUAGUUCAGAGAACAAAAUAGUCAAUGUUAGCCUGGCAGAUCUUAGAGGUGGAAAUCGCCCCAAUACAGGGCCCUUAUACACAGAGGCUGAUCGAGUCAUACAGAGAACAAAUUCAAUGCAGCAGUUGGAACAGUGGAUUAAAAUCCAGAAGGGAAGGGGUCAUGAAGAAGAAACCAGGGGAGUAAUUUCUUACCAAACAUUACCAAGAAAUAUGCCAAGUCACAGAGCCCAGAUUAUGGCCCGCUACCCUGAAGGUUAUAGAACACUCCCAAGAAACAGCAAGACAAGGCCUGAAAGUAUCUGCAGUGUAACCCCUUCUACUCAUGACAAGACAUUAGGACCCGGAGCGGAGGAGAAACGGAGGUCCAUGAGAGAUGACACAAUGUGGCAGCUCUACGAAUGGCAGCAGCGUCAGUUUUAUAACAAACAGAGCACCCUCCCUCGACACAGUACUUUGAGUAGUCCCAAAACCAUGGUAAAUAUUUCUGACCAGACAAUGCACUCUAUUCCCACAUCACCUUCCCACGGGUCAAUAGCUGCUUAUCAGGGAUACUCCCCUCAACGAACUUACAGAUCAGAAGUGUCUUCACCAAUUCAGAGAGGAGAUGUGACAAUAGACCGCAGACACAGGGCCCAUCACCCUAAGCAUGUCUAUGUGCCUGACAGAAGGUCAGUGCCAGCUGGCCUGACUUUACAGUCUGUUAGUCCCCAGAGCCUCCAAGGGAAAACGCGGGGUGGAGAAAAGGUGGCGACAGCGACUGGAGCAGCAGAGGCUGUAGCAAUGGAUACCCACCUCCCAUGAACCGGUUCCUCUUCCCCCUCCUCGCUGUGUGUUUGAUGUGUUAAAGCAAGAGCGAGAACGCGAGCAGCGCCAUGAGCAACACUACCAUCGUCCCCAGCGCUGCGGAUCCGGGCCCCAGCGGCGGGCACAGCAGCGGAGGUGGUGGCGGCGGUGGAGGCGGCGGCAUCGAGGUAAUAGGUGACUAAUCUCCCCAAGCACUAGCUCUGAGCAGAUGCGGACUCUCUUCGGUUUCCUAGGCAAGAUCGACGAACCACACCUCUUCCCGCCGGAUAAUUCACCUUUGCCAAUCUCAAUCUCGUUAAGUUCCAUGAUCCAGACUCAGCGGUUGUCGCACCAUGUCUGACAAACACUGUAUUCCUUGACAGAGCUUUGAUAACGUACCAUAUGCAGAAGGAGUUAUUCCUGAUAAGGCUGAGGCUUGUCUCUGUUGGCACCAGCUAAUGCAAUGGCAGGUCUUCUGCCUGGUGUUGGGCUCCUGCCUACUCCUAACCCACUUACUCAAAGCAGCUGUUCCACCGGCUGCUUUGGGGGCUCCUACUCUUGUUCCUGCCCUUGCUGCACUUGGGCUUCCUGGAGCAAACUUGAACUCAGUCUGUUGCCACAGAUCAGUUGCUGAAGCUUAUGAGUACUGUUGAUCCCAAGUUGAAGCAUUUUAUCCCAGAACUUUGGGAGGCUGAGGCGGGUGGAUCACUUCAGAUCAGGAGUUCAAGACCAACCUGACCAACAUGGUGAAACCUCGUCUUUACUAAAAAUUCAAAAUUAGCUGGGCAUGGUGGUGCAUGCCUGUAAUCCGAAAUACUUAGGAGGCUGAGGCAGGAGAAUCGCUUGAACCCUGGAGGUGGAGGUUGCAGUGAGCCGAGAUCGUGCCAUUGCACUCCAGCCUGGGCAACGAGCACAAAACUCUUGUCUCAAAAAAAAAUAGAGGAAGCUACGAAAAGAGUACAAGAAGCACACUCCCUAAUUUCGGCUGCUAUAGAACCAGAUAAAGAAGAAAGAA